rnacentral:rRNA from 1 species
UACGAAGGGGGCUAGCGUUGCUCGGAAUUACUGGGCGUAAAGGGAGCGUAGGCGGAUAGUUUAGUCAGAGGUGAAAGCCCAGGGCUCAACCUUGGAAUUGCCUUUGAUACUGGCUAUCUUGAGUACGGAAGAGGUAUGUGGAACUCCGAGUGUAGAGGUGAAAUUCGUAGAUAUUCGCAAGAACACCAGUGGCGAAGGCGGCUUACUGGCCCGAUACUGACGCUGAGGCACGAAAGCGUGGGGAGCAAACAGG